CAGUGGUUAGCUCAGUUGGUAGAGCAGCGCCCUUACAAGGUGUAGGUCACAGGCUCGACCCUGUACCACCCACCA
rnacentral:tRNA from 1 species